rnacentral:lncRNA from 1 species
CAGCCACCGCUCAGACCCCCCCAGUGCAUCCACAGGGACAAGUUGGGCCCCGGGCGACACUGACAGGGGUGUCUGUCCGUCUGUCUGUCUGUCUGCACGCGUAGUGGUGCCUGCACGUGUAGGAACGGAGGGAUGGUGCGGGAUGGGGGGGGGGGGGCAGCUGCAUAAGACUCGCAUUCACUUGUUGCAUUCGAAGGGCAAAAUAUUUCAGCAGAAGCCCAGCGAAGUCAGCGGGAGUUUGGGAGGAGUAAAUCAAACACCAGGCUUAGCCUGACAACGUGCGUAUCGAGCCCGCAUCUCCCAGCUGGCAGUCGCAGGGCCUGAGCCACAGCCUGGAGGUGUAAAACGGCCCCCCCGGGGGCCUCGGCUCUCUUUCCAUGCAGAGGGCAGGACUGGAUCCCCCCUCACUCGGUCUUCCUCCCUGCCCAGGGCUCAGGACCAGGGGUGCGAGGUGUCUGUGAUGACCCCCCCCUUACCCCGAAGGAGCCCCCCCAUCGGGUGCUGCACUUUAGGGGGAGCAGCAGUGGGUGCCGCGUGCUCUAGGUGGGGGGCUCGCCCCAAAUGAGCCUUUAAAUGGACUUUUUGGGGUUGGAGGAGGGCUGAACCUGGGGGGCUCUUGCCCUGCCCCUGUCCUUUCUCCUUGGGCACGCAGCGGGUGCCCCCAGCCCCCCCUGGGGGACGAGGAGCCCCCACCCGUGCCAGGGGGCUGCCGCCUCCUGGGGGGCCGGGGCAGAGCAGCGGCACCACGGGGGGGGGGCUCAGAGCCGGGUAGGGGCGUCCCUGAGCUCGGGGAGGGGGCCACGGGCAUGCAGGGAGGGGGCAGAGCAUCCCGGCAGCGGGCUGCCUCCUCCAGCACCGACGGCUCCCCACCUCCAGCCCAACUUUCUACACCGGGGGCGGCCCCAGGUUGUGUCCCCCCCCCCCCCUCCCUCCACCACCCUCGGGCUGUGCCACCCUCCCCCGUCUCUGCUCCAUCCCACCCCUUCCACCCCCUCUUUCGGCUCCCCCCUUCGCCUCCCCCCCCCGGCCGGGGGCCCCGUCCCUCCCCCCCGGGGGGGCGGCCCCGCUCCCCGCCCGCCGCCGGAGGGAAGCGGCGGAGCCCGGGGGGCGCUCCCGGCUCGGGGGGCGGCCCGGGCGGCUGCAGCCGAAGCACCGGGGCUGCUCAUGCCUCCAGCAGCCGGAGAGCAGUCCCUGGAGCCGCAGGAACAAGAUGCCUGUGAAGUUUAAUGUCUCUUAGCCCUAGAAGA